AUACUCCUGACUGACCGAUAGUGAACCAGUACCGUGAGGGAAAGGCGAAAAGAACCCCGGCGAGGGGAGUGAAAAAGAACCUGAAACCGUGUACGUACAAGCAGUGGGAGCACGCUUCGGCGUGUGACUGCGUACCUUUUGUAUAAUGGGUCAGCGACUUAUAUUCUGUAGCAAGGUUAACCGAAUAGGGGAGCCGAAGGGAAACCGAGUCUUAACUGGGCGUUAAGUUGCAGG
rnacentral:rRNA from 1 species